CCGCGAGUGGUCGGGACGAUUAUUGGGCCUAAAGCGUUCGUAGCCGGCCUAUCAAGUCUCUGGUUAAAUCUCAAGGCUUAACCUUGAGCGUGCUGGGGAUACUGUUAGGCUAGGGGGCGGGAGAGGUUGAGGGUACUUCGCGGGUAGGGGCGAAAUCCUAUAAUCCGCGAAGGACCACCAGUGGCGAAGGCGCUCGACUGGAACGCGCCCGACGGUGAGGGACGAAAGCCAGGGGAGCAAAGGGGAUUAGAUACCCCCGUAGUCCUGGCUGUAAACGAUGCGGGCUAGGUGUUGGGUUGGCUUCGUGCCAACCCGGUGCCGCAGCGAAGGCGAUAAGCCCGCCGCCUGGGAAGUACGG
rnacentral:rRNA from 1 species